rnacentral:misc_RNA from 1 species
UCCGGUUUGGCACCGGCAGUCUCCUAUGAGUCCCCGGCAUUAUCCGCUGGCAACAUAGAACGAGGGUUGCGCUCGUUGCGGGACUUAACCCAACAUCUCACGACACGAGCUGACGACAACCAUGCACCACCUGUACAGGACCCUUACGGACCCGCCAUCUCUGACGGAUUUCCCUGUAUGUCAAGCCUUGGUAAGGUUCUUCGCGUUGCGUCGAAUUAAGCCACAUGCUCCGCCGCUUGUGCGGGCCCCCGUCAAUUCCUUUGAGUUUUAGCCUUGCGGCCGUACUCCCCAGGCGGGGAACUUAAUGCGUUAGCUGCGGCACGGAGAUCGUGGAAAGAUCCCCACACCUAGUUCCCAACGUUUACGGCGUGGACUAC